rnacentral:rRNA from 1 species
CAAUAGCGUAUAUUAAAGCUGUUGCGGUUAAAAAGCUCGUAGUUGGAUUUCUGUCAAGUACAACUGGUCCGCCCUCCGGGUGAGCACAUAGUUUGGUCUUGGCAUCUUGCUGGAAAUUGUUGCUGCACUUGGCUGUGUGGCGCAGUGUCCAGCACUUUCACUUUGAGGAAAUUAGAGUGUUCACGGCAGGCAGUCGCCUUGAAUAUAUUAGCAUGGAAUAAUAAUAUAGGACCUUGGUUCUAUUUUGUUGGUUUCUAGAACUUAGGUAAUGAUUAAUAGGGACAAUUGGGGGCAUUUGUAUUAACACGUCAGAGGUGGAAUUCUUGGAUUGUGUUACGACAAACUACUGCGAAAGCAUUUGCCAAGGAUGUUUUCAUUGA